UUACUGAAAUGGUUAUGUCGUGUACGCAUUGGCACUUAAUACACGACAGGGAAGGGGGUGACAAUCCCCCGCAGCCCCCGCUGCUGUGAUGCCGACGAACCCGCUGAAACCACUGAUCCAUCGGAUUGGGAAGGUGCGGGGGAGGAUGACGCUAAGCCAGAAGACCAGCCAAAUCGGUAAAAUAUAU
rnacentral:ncRNA from 2 species